AUACGGAGGGUCCGAGCGUUAUCCGGAAUCAUUGGGUUUAAAGGGUCCGUAGGCGGGCAGCUCAGUCAGUGGUGAAAGUUUGCAGCUCAACUGUAAAAUUGCCAUUGAUACUGGUUGUCUUGAAUUAAUGUGAAGUGGUUAGAAUAAGUAGUGUAGCGGUGAAAUGCAUAGAUAUUACUUGGAAUACCAAUUGCGAAGGCAGAUCACUAACAUUAUAUUGACGCUGAUGGACGAAAGCGUGGGGAGCGAACAGGAUUAGAAACCCUAGUAGUCC
rnacentral:rRNA from 1 species